rnacentral:rRNA from 1 species
ACUCCUACGGGAGGCAGCAGUGAGGAAUAUUGCGCAAUGGGCGAAAGCCUGACGCAGCGACGCCGCGUGGGGGAUGAAGGUUUUCGAAUUGUAAACCCCUUUCAGGAGGAAAGAGAAGGUGGGUUACCACCUAGACGGUACCUCCAGAAGAAGCCACGGCUAACUUCGUGCCAGCAGCCGCGGUAAUACGAAGGUGGCGAGCGUUGUUCGGAUUUACUGGGCGUAAAGAGCACGUAGGCGGUUAGAUAAGCCUCUUGGGAAAGCUCCUGGCUUAACCGGGAAAGGUCGAGGGGAACUGUCUAGCUAGAGGGCGGGAGAGGAGCGCGGAAUUCCCG